UGCCAGCAGCCGCGGUAACACGGGGGGCGCAAGCGUUAUUCGGAAUUACUGGGCAUAAAGAGCACGUAGGCGGACUACUAAGUCUGAUGUGAAAGCCCGGGGCUCAACCCCGGAAGUGCAUUGGAAACUGGCGAACUUGAGUACGGGAGAGGAAAGUGGAAUUCCGAGUGUAGGGGUGAAAUCCGUAGAUAUUCGGAGGAACACCAGUGGCGAAGGCGGCUUUCUGGACCGAUACUGACGCUGAGACGCGAAAGCGUGGGGAGCAAACAGGAUUAGAUA
rnacentral:rRNA from 1 species